GGAACAGGCUAGAGGCAGGGAGACAGACAGUAAAAGAGCGGAUGGGAAAAUGUUUGCUUUCCUAACUGAUUAUUUCCAUAAAGCAGGACUUAUACCUGGCUCCUCUAUCUGCUACACUCCCAGCACUAAAGAGAGGGUCUCCACCUAGGAGGCCUGUAGAUCAAAUGAUGGAAUUUCAGUGAUGCGAUGAGAGAGCAAAGUCACAAUGAAAGCUUUGGGGGAGGCAACAGCAGGAGGAUGGACUGGAGAAACAGGGCAGAAGUUGAGACUCGGGUAAUUGGGAUGCUCCAGCAGUGAAGGUUUCUGGCUGGAGGACUGGGGCCUCUCUCAGGUACACUUGGAAGAGUACAAGGAUCAUUGUAGGAUGGGAAUCCAAGCUAGCUCCACACACUGCACUUGUCUUAAGGGCUGUCACUGGGAGCAACACUGAUGCAUGGAAGGGAGGAAGCAGAACUGGACAGAGAGAGAAAUUGAGCUGUGAUGAUGAUGUCUACAUCAAAACCUCUGUGACACUUUGGUUACAGUAAUGAGGGAGGAUGAAUGAAAACCAGAACUUGAACCCCACAAAAGGAACUCCCAGCACUAGUGGCAGACAGGAAGAAGGGAAGCUUCAAAGCUCAGCAGGAGGGUCUGGAAGACCCAGGAUGAAGUCUGGAAACACUCGUCCACCCAUGGAUCAGAGAGGUCUGCAAUUUGGAGCUGUGAUGCUCUGUGGCAGCUGUCUGGAGCCUCAGAGGAGGCGUUGCCUUCUUCUGCCUGAAAGCCCAGAAGGAGAGAGGGUGC
rnacentral:lncRNA from 1 species